UACAGAGGGUGCUAGCGUUGUUCGGAAUUACUGGGCGUAAAGCGCACGUAGGCGGCCAUUCAAGUCAGAGGUGAAAGCCCAGGGCUCAACCUUGGAACUGCCUUUGAAACUAGAUGGCUAGAAUUCUGGAGAGGUCAGUGGAAUUCCGAGUGUAGAGGUGAAAUUCGUAGAUAUUCGGAAGAACACCAGUGGCGAAGGCGACUGACUGGACAGAUAUUGACGCUGAGGUGCGAAAGCGUGGGGAGCAAACAGG
rnacentral:rRNA from 1 species